GGCUAGCAUGAUUCUCGAGCGCAAGUAGUUGCAUUUCCAAAUCAAAAUCUCUGGCAUUAAAAGCCGUCUUCAAGCGGCUACCCGGUAGCUGCAACGUAGGUGGGGUGAGGUUAACUUGCUUGUGCCACAAGCCCCCAGACUUUGGAGAGGAAGCAACAGCCAAAGGAGACAUGGGCGGCGUUGAAGUGGUAGGCAAUGGCAAGGCAGAUGAACCAAGUGCUAGAGGGCUCAAAUUAGCCAUAUCCGCUGCAUUGAUAACAGCAGACCUCGGUGAAGGCAUAGCUGAUCCAGU
rnacentral:lncRNA from 1 species